AAACCAUCACAAAUAGAGAUCAAACUCACUAAAUUUGGAGAAAUAAAUCAUAGAGAAACAUGCCAAUGCUGCAAACCUCCAACUGUAUCUCUAAAAAAUCAGUAAUAGUUACCAUAGGCAUAUUAUAUUUAGUGUUUCUUGUCGGAAAAUGCAUUAACGAUAAAAACAAAGGACAAAAUGAAAAAAGUAAAAGAAAACCAGGUGGCACAGGUGUAGGAGGAGGAGGGCCUGAUCCAGAUUCGACUCCCAAAUGAGUAGUUGAUCAUUUUUUUAAAACACAUUAGUAAUUAAUUUGGAGUUGUUUUAGUUUUAUUUUAUUUGGAAUUUAUGUUUUUACUUUCAUUUUAACAUAAUGAUCCAGAUGUAAACAGAUGUAUCAAAGGAAUUGGCAAUAUUACAUUGAAAUGAGAUUGAGGAUAGUUAAUAGUAUUA